rnacentral:rRNA from 1 species
CUACGGGAUGCAGCAGUGGGGAAUAUUACACAAUGGGCGCAAGCCUGAUGCAGCCAUGCCGCGUGUAUGAAGAAGGCCUUCGGGUUGUAAAGUACUUUCAGCGGGGAGGAAGGGAGUAAAGUUAAUACCUUUGCUCAUUGACGUUACCCGCAGAAGAAGCACCGGCUAACUCCGUGCCAGCAGCCGCGGUAAUACGGAGGGUGCAAGCGUUAAUCGGAAUUGCUGGGCGUAAAGCGCACGCAGGCGGUUUGUUAAGUCAGAUGGGAAAUCCCCGGGCUCAACCUGGGAACUGCAUCUGAUACUGGCAAGCUUGAGUCUCGUAGAGGGGGGUAGAAUUCCAGGUGUAGCGGUGAAAUGCGUAGAGAUCUGGAGGAAUACCGGUGGCGAAGGCGGCCCCCUGGACGAAGACUGACGCUCAGGUGCGAAAGCGUGGGGAGCAAACAGGAUUAGAUACCCGAGUAGUC